rnacentral:rRNA from 1 species
UCGACAGCAUGCUGUACCGACUUGGCGCUGGCCCACACGUUGAAGUUCUGGCGUGGCUGGAUCACCUCCUUAAGCUUGGAUCCCGGGAAGCUAAUACCGCAUACGUCCUACGGGAGAAAGCAGGGGACCUUCGGGCCUUGCGCUAUCAGAUGAGCCUAGGUCGGAUUAGCUAGUUGGCGAGGUAAUGGCUCACCAAGGCGACCAUCCGUAACUGGUCUGAGAGGAUGAUCAGACACACUGGAACUGAGACACGGUCCAGACUCCUACGGGAGGCAGCAGUGGGGAAUAUUGGACAAUUGGGCGAAAGCCUGAUCCAGCCAUGCCGCCUGUGUGAAGAAGGUCUUCCGGAUUGUAAAACACUUUAAANUGUGUGAGGAAGGGCAGAUACCUAAUACCUUGAUUGUUUUGACGUUACCGACAGAAUAAUCACCGGCUAACUCUGUGCCAGUCCAGCCGCGGGAAUACAGAGGGUGCAAGCGUUAAUCGGAAUUACUGGGCGUAAAGACGCGCGUAACGUGGUUGUUAAGUUGGAUAGUGAAAUCCCCGGGCUCAAACCUGGGAACUUGCAUUNCAAAAAUGACUGACUAACAGCAUGGCUAGAGGGCGCCGGNAAUUUCCUGUUGUACCCGGUNGAAAU